rnacentral:tRNA from 1 species
GGGGAUUUAGCUCAGUGGUAGAGCGCUUGCCUAGCAUGUGCAAGGCCCUGAGUUCAGUCCCCA